rnacentral:rRNA from 1 species
UCCUGGCUCAGAACGAACGCUGGCGGCGUGCUUAACACAUGCAAGUCGAACGCGAAAGGGACUUCGGUCCUGAGUAAAGUGGCGCACGGGUGAGUAACGCGUAGAUAACCUGUCUUCAUGUCUGGAAUAAUACGCCAAAGGGGUACUAAUACCGGAUAUUCUUGCUUUUCAUAAGUUAUGCAAGCAAAGGUGGCCUCUGCAUAUGCUACUGCAUGAAGAGGGGUCUGCGUACCAUUAGCUAGUAGGUGGGGUAAUGGCCUACCUAGGCGACGAUGGUUAGCGGGUCUGAGAGGAUGAUCCGCCACACUGGCACUGGAACACGGGCCAGACCCCUACGGGAGGCAGCAGUGAGGAAUAUUGCGCAAUGGGGGAAACCCUGACGCAGCGACGCCGCGUGAGUGAGGAAGGCCUUCGGGUCGUAAAGCUCUGUCAAGAGGAAAGAAGUGUACAAUGGCUAAUACCUGUUGUAUUUGACGGUACCUCUAAAGGAAGCACCGGCUAACUCCGUGCCAGCAGCGGC